GGAAGCGGAUGGGGUCUGGUGGCCCUCGCGGUCUUCAAAACCGUAGGAAGUCGGCGAUCCCGGUUUCGGCAGGUUCGAUUCCUGUCCCUUCCGCCA
rnacentral:tRNA from 1 species